rnacentral:lncRNA from 1 species
GAAUGAGGCCUUCAUGGAUAACCACUUCUCUGAGCUCUGUGUUCAAAGCUUGUCAUGGAAGACUAAUGUUCUCUUGGGAUGUAAGGGCAAGAGUAUUAAGUAAGAAGAAAAUAAUCUUGUCUCCGUACUUAGCAUUGUGUAUGUCAGGGGGAAAGCACACAAGGAUACUGGUGUUCAAUCCAGAUGUCAGGUGAGGGUGAAUAAAUAGAGGAAAAACUGAUCUGAAGCAGUGUUGUACUCUGUGACAUUGCUAAAAUGAGAUUUACAUACACUUCUGUCUUUGAAUUCAACUCUAGGCAAAAUCCUGUCAUCUAUGGAUAUGGAUAGCUUUUUAUAUGUUUAGAUGCCCUAAAUUCCUCUGUUCUUUCCUUCUUUUACUUUGAAACCCUUACCUAGCCUUUUUACUGUUUUCUCCCUUUCUAACUGCAGUAGAUGCAGCUUUUCCUCCACAGCAAUAUUUUAUACUUGUGUUUUCUCUUGUGCUGUGGCUUUCAAGCAGCCCUGUAGAAAUCACUGGGUCUAGUUCAGGGGGACAGGAGGUUAAGCAUUGCCUUAGGUAUGCCCGCAGCACUUGCAGCUUUAAAUAAGGAUAUGGUCAUAAUCAAAUCUUGUGCUUCAGGGCUUUUAUGGCUGAUUGUAAGAAUGGAGAAGAACAUUUUUAUUUGUUUAUCUUAUGAAGAAAAAAUGAACAUUUUUAUUUCAGGGCUUUUAUUUGCUUAUCCUGCCUUCCUCUCCAAGACUGAUGAGGAUGGCUAUCUGUUGAGAAUGAAAAUGGUGCAAGAGCAAGCAGAGGACAGGGCUGAAGUGGGAAGCCUGCUCCAGAGGCAAGAGUACAGGCAGCCACUGCCACGACUACAGAGGAAGGAUGGUGGAGCAUACUUGCUAGAUGGAAGAAAGAGAUACUGCCAUUGCACAGCCGACCAAGAUCCCCUCACCUUUUAGAGGUCUCACUCUGGUCCCAGUGUGGAUCUUGCAGCAUUUCUCAUUUGUUUUGCACCACAAAUUUGCAGUUUUCUCCAUUGGCUAGUUUGCCAGAAACCUGAGAUUAGAUGCAGCAGCACAAUCCAGAUCCUAGCCUUAGCCCUGAUGGGCUCAUCUCUCAGCUCCUCUGCUCCCCAGACGAGGUGCAGACAUCCCUGCUCUGCCAAUGUAGGCACUUCUCCUCCACUGCUCAUGGUGGGAUGCAAGCAAGUGCAGUGCAAGAAGGCCUGCUCUACAUGUAGCCGCAGCAUCAUUUCCUUGUUAUGAAAUGAAUCAUACUUUCAUUCUUCAGAUUGUUACCAAAAAAAAAAAAAAAAAAAAAAAAGGAAAAGCGUGACUGUAAACUACAUUCCUUUUUCCUUGCAUUCAGGAACUGAGGCCAAAGCCAAACCAGUGCUGAACAUGGAACCAAUUAUUAUUCAAUUAUUAUUUUAUCAACUACCCAAAGAAAACAUAUCUGCCAAGGAAAAAUAAAAUAAAAUAAAACAACA